GUAUAUAAGCAUAAUAUUUUUUUUUUUGCAUUCCAAUUUAUUCCAUGGAAUAGACAACAACAAUUUAAUGGCCCAAACAUGUGUAUACAUGCAUACACAUGCAGGUGCAUGCAUGUAGGAUAAUAUUACAAUUAUUAAAGGUAUGUGCUUAAAACAUGUUUGCCACUUAUCAUGGCACACAAAUAUAAAACCAGAAACAUUUAGCUCUAUAUACUAAAAACUAUUUGAGCCGACAUUUCAGAGCUUCGGUACUGAGUUUUUUCUAAGUUAUAGAUAUUUUAUUAUACAUAAUGGGUGCCAUUCAAAAUAUAAGUGCAGUUUUACAUGGAUGUAAAUAGAGCUUGCUAUUGAUCCACGCGUGAUUCAUGCAUUUCUAAGGUGGGUAAAUGUAUAACAGUAUAAUAUAGUAUAAUAUUUAAUUAGACAUCCAUAAACCAACUGGGAAUAUGGCAGAUAGUCUGAGGUAAACAUUUCUAUCCUGAAUAAUUAUGUAUGGUGUUAUUUUUGCUACACAUUGAAUACAUAAAAUAUUCUUAUUCUUUAUUGCACACUAAACAGUAAAUACAUACGGGAUACAGACAGUUAUGUACAACGGCGAGCUUAACCCAGAAUUGGAAAUAUUUACAGGAAAAGAGUAAAUAAAGCAAGUAAAGCUAAUUGCAUAGUUCAUGGGGAUGAUGGCCAAACAAUUUGGUGUUAAUGCAUUAUUUACAUACAUUACUGAAAUAGACAAAGGAAGUACCUACAAAAAUAAGUAAAUAGGAUAUAACAAUAGGAUAUUCACGUUAUAAAGCCAAUAAAACAAUAAUUAAAAUUGAAAUAAUCAUAAUCACUUACAAAUAGAAGUAGAAAAUAAAUUGGUUAAUUGACAACCAACAAAAACUGUUGGACACAGCUCUUGACUAUUCUAAGUAUAUCCCAAACGGUGAUAACAGGUAUUAAUAAAGGAUAAUCAAAUACUUUAAAGUACUAUAAACACUAAACUGGUUUUUAUUAAUAAACUAUAUGAAACUAAAUGCUUCAAGCCAGUAGGUACCUAUGUUUCAGACAGUUUGUUUUUAGUUUAGUCUAGAAUAAAUUAAUAAGAACCCAUCUGCCGCAUUAGGCAAGUCCUGUAAGGAUAGAUGUAAGGUUGUGUAUAAAUAAAUAAAUAAAUAAAUACAUCAGUGUUAAGUAAAACUUCAUUCCAAGCAAAUAUCAUUGCCUGUUUUUAUUUUAAAGAUGCAUGUUUUAUUUUAAAGUGAAAAUUAUAAAAAUGGUAAUCUUUUUAAAUGAUCUUUUCCAUAUUAUUAACUGUAAAUUGCCUCACCUAGAAAAAGUUAAACUGCCUAUUCUAUCUGAAUGUUGGAUGACAUUACAGCUAACAGGUACAUUAUAGGACUGUAACACAUUAAGGAUAUUUACUUAAAGGAUUUUACAGACUGAAGCAUAAUAAAUAAAUAUAACUCAGUAGUGUCAAUUAAUCAGAAGAAAAUAUAACUCAGUAGUGUCAGUAAUCCGAGUAGACGGAUUAGAUAUGCUCUUUUUGAAAGAUUUCAUUUUAAUUUGGAAUCCACCACUUGAUGCUGAGACCAAUCUGGUUUCCUCAACCAUUCAAAAUAACCUGAAGUGCUUAAAGAUAUGUAAACUAGAAUCAAAUAAAUACAAAAUAAACAAAUUUCGGUUUUGAAAUCUGAACGGAAAGCAGUUUAUCAUUAUUAAUUUAAUAAAUGGAUAUGGCGAUUGCGUCAAUAAGAGAUAGGUCUGAGUUGGAACGAAACAAUAUUAGUUAGACAUAAAAUUGUUUGAUACUACACAGGAGCCAUACCAUCAGAAUGCGUUAUACUGUGCUGAAAAAGAAGUAUGUAAGACGGUUAAAGGAUAAAUGAUUAGGCAAUUAAUAAGUAUUUUGUCCUAGCCCAUUAAAAAGUCGAAUACAUACCAGGGCACUCAGUAAAAUAUAUAGAUAAACUGAACCUGAACUUUUAUGGAUGGUAACAAUACAAGUUAACACUUCUCUCUAUACUCUCUUAUGCAUACCGGAUAAUAUUCAUAUCAAAUAUUCUAAACACAAAAAUAUAGGUACUCUCAUUAUGAUAGGAAAUCUUGUAAUUUCCUGGGAGGUUAGACAUCUUAUUCUGAGACUAAAUUUCAGCACAUGUUGUAUGUUGGACCUACUCUCACAGAAAAUUACAUGUACAGUUUAUGAUGAUUUUCUUGAUUGAUGUUGUGAGUCUAUUCUGACCAUUUAUAAAAUAGGAACCAAGAUUGUGGAGGAUCAGAGGAGUGAAUUCAGUGGGGUGUCAACAAUCCUUAACAAGUCAGUAAGUUCAACCACAAGUGUUUUACAGUCAACAACUAAGAAAGAGCAUUGCUUAGUAUUUAUUAGUUUUGAACCAUUAAUUGAAUUAACUGACUGAUAAAAUAAAGAACAAUUUAUAUGGUUAUUGGAACUUAUGUUUAAAGAUGAUGACAUCUGGUUAUGUUUAUAUUCAUGUAUAUAUUUAUUUGCAUUCCAUAAUGUUACAAUUGAUGUUGAAGAGGCUUAAAACUAAGUAGGUACCAUUAUAGGCCCUGUUAGGGCACAGCUAAAGAAGGCAAUACUUUAAGGCAACUUUUUUGUCCCUUUGUUUGUAUUAAAAUUGUUACUACGGCACCACCUUCAAUUCUGCUUUCGUAUCCCUCAUCAGGGAUAUAGUUCCGAAGGAGCAGAAGGCUUUUCCACUCACACUUUACAUAAUUAAAUGAAAUAUAAUAUAAUUUGAUUAAAUGAUAUUGACUAAAAAGAAAAGCUUGCAUUGAGAAGUGUAGUGAUUUGAAUGAAUUGUUAAUUAAUAAAAUAAUACCAGACGAAGAAAAUUGAAUGAAUAAAUUAAAGAUUUAUAAAAUUUUUACUUUGAUUAUCUCUAACUAAUUAUUAUGAGCCUCUGUAUUGUAAUGUGAAAUAAAUUGAAAGAUUCAUUCAAUUCUAUUCUAUUUCAGUUUGGUUACAUUGUUGAAUUAUUAAAACAAGACUAGAUAAAUAAACUUUUUAUAAAUUGAGAGGUUUGAAGGUAUGCACUCUGUACUGUUUUAGCUGGUUCUAUUGUUUGUUGCUGAAAACAAACGACUUGAGGAAGAAAGUGGAUAUUAUGUAUUUAUAUAUUUUAACCACUACAAUAAGGGAUUAACAGAAACAAUUGUAAUGUUGUAACAAUUGUAACUUGUAGUGGUCUGAUUGAGUUUGAUUGUAUUGUUAAAUAAUAAUAAUAGAAGACAUGUAAUGAUUUAGUUUAACCAUAGGCAUUACUCUAAUACAAAUAAGAGAUGAAAAAAAAAAAAUGAAAUUACUUGUACAUUUCUCGUUUUAUUAUGUUGUUAAUUAUUAAAAACAAGCAACUGGAAUGCUAAUAAAGAAUUGAGUAUUGAUUGGACAAGAUAUAUGGUACUAGUUGUGAGAUAACGAAUAUAAAUAAGAGAUGGGCAGAGAAACUGACUAAAGAAUGUUUAAUAGCUACCUUGAUCAUAUUGAUGAUUAAUGAAAACUAGACAAGAUAAAAUAUGUAUACAUAUAUAUUGUAGACAGAGAUAGAAGAUGUAAUAAAUUGAGAUUUGUAUAUUGACCAGUUUGAUGAUAUUGUUAAUUAAGAAAGUCAUUUAUGAUUCUGAAUUUAAUACUGUUUUCCACGGAAGGAAUUGUGUAAGGACGGUUUUGUGUAAGGAGCCACUCGUGAUAAUAUUAUUAAUCAAUACUUAUAAAGAACACUUAGAAAGCUGUAUACAUUCUCAUAACUCUCAAUUUUUCGAAACCAAGUCCUUAAAAAUAAAUUGUAUAUUGUAUUGAAGAUCAUUACAAGCAUAAUGAUGAAGUAUAUAAAUCUAAGACAGGAUAUUAAGCAAUUGUACAUUGUAUUGAAGAUCGAUACAAGCGUAAUGAUGAAGUAUAUAAAUCUAAGAGGAUAUUAAGAAAUUGUGUGUUGUAUUGAAUAUCAAUACAUGUGUAAUGAUUAAGUUUCUGAAUCUGAGGCUAGAUAUUAAGAAAUUAAUAAUGAUGAAGUAUAAACAUCUGACGCUAGGUAUUGAGAAAGUUUAUAUUGUAUUGAAGAUCAAUACAAGUGUAGUGUCCCAGUUUAUGAAUCUAAGGCUAGAUAUUAAGAAAUUGUAUAUUGUAUUGUUAAUGUACUGUAGUUCAGGUACUGGAUAGAAAGAAGUUGUUUACUGUAAUGUGAAAUUAUAUAAGCAGAAGCAAUGUGUAAAUAUUGAUUUGCACUUUGAAUUAUGAUAUUGAUGAAUUUGAAUGUGUUAAUAAGGAAUAGAAGUUCAGAGACCUUGUAUAAUAGAAGUUUUCUAUUGAAAUGAGAAAUGAUAUAAGUAUCUUGAUGCGAAUAUGGUGAUGCUGACUUGUACUGCUUGUAUUUGAGUGAGGUACACAAAUCCGGAGACUGGAUGUAAAGGAUUCUUGUCGUCGAUAUGUUGAUAUUGACUUGUAAUAUUGAAAUUUGAAUAUAUUGAUAAGGUACCUAGAUAAGUCCCGAGACUGGAUAUAAGGAAGUGUUUAUUUGAUGGAGAACUAUAUAAAUGAUUUGAUGAUUUUGAUUUGUUGAUUUUGACUUGUAUUGCUUGAAUUUGAAUGUAUUGAUAAGGUACACAAGUCUGGAGACUGGAUAUUGAGAAUUGUUUAUUCAAUGGGGAAUUAUAAAAGUAUAUUGAUGUAAAUAUGUUGGUUUUGACUUGUACUGCUUGAAUUUGAAUGUAUUUUUAAAGAUACUGGAUAUAAAACGAGUUGGUUAUUGAAAUAGGAAAUUAUAUAAGUAUAUUGAUGCCAAUAUGUUGAUGUUGACUUAUAAUGGUUGAAUUUGAAUGUAUUUAUAAAGAAUAUAAAUCCAGAUACUAGAUAUAAAACAAGUUGGUUAUUGAAAUAGGAAAUUAUAUAAGUAUAUUGAUGCCAAUAUGUUGACGUUGACUUAUAAUGGUUGAAUUUGAAUGUAUUUAUAAAGAUUAUAAAUCCAGAGACUAGAUAUAAAACAAGUUGGUUAUUGAAAUAGGAAAUUAUAUAAGUAUAUAUAUGCCAAUAUGUUGAUGUUGACUUGUAAUGGUUGAAUUUGAAUGUAUUGAUAAGGUACAUAAGUCGAGAGACUUGAUAGAAGGAUCGUGAUGUAAAUUUGUUAACAUGACUGGAAGGCGUAGAUAGCUCCAAAUGGGAGUGAAUUCCUCGCUGCAGUCACAGUGAUAGUAAGAUUAACUUACUCUGUUAAACUUGAAUGUUUUGAUAAAGUAUACAAGUCCAAAUACUAGACGUGAAGUUGUUUACAACUGUCAAUUGUUCAAAAUGAAAUGAAAUUAAAAUAUUCGAAGAAAUUGUUUAUCGUAGUGAGAGUUUUGCAAUUAUAUUGUUGACGAUUUGUUACAGAUGGCUGGAAAGCAGGUGGCAAGUGAGAGUGCUUGGCCUCUGCAACAGUAAAGAGAGGCAGGUGGCAAGUGAGAGUGCUUGGCCUCUGCAACAGUAAAGAGAGGCAGGUGGCAAGUGAGAGUGCUUGGCCUCUGCAACAGUAAAGAGAGGCAGGUGGCAAGUGAGAGUGCUUGGCCUGUGCAACAGUAAAGAGAGGCAGGUGGCAAGUGAGAGUGCUUGGCCUCUGCAACAGUAAAGAGAGGCAGGUGGCAAGUGAGAGUGCUUGGCCUGUGCAACAGUAAAGAGAGGCAGGUGGCAAGUGAGAGUGCUUGGCCUCUGCAACAGUAAAGAGAGGCAGGUGGCAAGUGAGAGUGCUUGGCCUCUGCAACAGUAAAGAGAGGCAGGUGGCAAGUGAGAGUGCUUGGCCUCUGCAACAGUAAAGAGAGGCAGGUGGCAAGUGAGAGUGCUUGGCCUCUGCAACAGUAAAGUUGUUGAAGUUGUACAGUGACUGUCAAGUGAGAGUGCUUGGCCAGUGAAGCUAUGAGAAGAUAUGGUAACAAAUGUAGAAUAUAAAAAGAUUAAUAUCAGAUCUGUUUGAAAACUUGAUUACCCAGUAUACAUAUCUUUUCUUUGAAUUGUAUAAAUUAUUUUUCUAGUAAAAAAUUGCACUAAAAUUAUUUUGUAUAAUUUAUAACAUUUUUAGCUCGAUUUGUAUUGUAUAACAUUCUCAGGACUAGAUAGAAAACUGUAUGAAAUAUGUAAUUAAUUUUAUUUUCUUUUAAAAAGAGUGUCCAUGGAGUUUCUUGCCGGUUCUUCUCCAUGAGACCAACUCUUUGGAACCGUGCACCUAACUUUGACGUUUCGAAAGAGCUUUUAUAUGACUAAUUGAAAAAAAAAAAUGAGUUUAUGUUUGAAUAAAUUAGAGUAAUUGUGUUAAAUCCGACUUCUUGGAAAGUUGUUUAGUGGCCAAUAGGUGGCACAUGUUAUUAUUCCUAGUUCAACUUGCAUUGUAUAACUUUCUCAGAGUAGUCAGAGUCAGCCAUAAAAUAUUGUAAGCAUUUCUUUUUUUUUUAUGUUAUUAUCGUAUGUAUCAAUACAUACCAAAUGUUAUACACAUUGUGUUUUAAAAAGAGUAACCAUGGAGUUUCUUGCCCGUUCUUCUCCAUAGGAAGCUACUUUUGGAAUGGGCAACUAGAAUCAAACAUAUUUAUAAUUACCCAAGGGUAUAGUUUGAGGACAAACUAAAGGUCAGGAAGGCCGAAUGUUAGAUCCUUUUAUUUUAUACGGGCAACACUGCUGCCACCAUGAUGACAACCCUAGGAAGAUUUUGACAGAUAGAGCGCUCGCUUUCUUCGUUGACGGAUAAACUAUGUUUUCUUAGGAUAGUUAUUAAAAAUUGUGUUUUAAAAGUGAAUACAAGAAGUUAUUGUGAUACGAA
rnacentral:lncRNA from 1 species